rnacentral:lncRNA from 1 species
AUGGGCAGUGCAGAGGCCUCUGGGAAGCAGGAAGCCGGAAGCCAAGAUUGUGCCCAGCACACCCCGCCUCCUCCGCCUCCAAAGAUUUUCCUGCCUUACUUCUGUAACCUCCUGCGAAAGAUUGGACUAGAGCCGGGAGCUCCAGGCAGCGUGGACCCCCGGGUGGGGCUGAGUGGGACUGAAUUCGAAUUCUCCUUUUUACUAGUCUCUGUGGCAGACCAACUCCCCGCUUCCUUGAGACCCCGGAUCAGCCCAAAGUUGGGAGUCCCUCCCCCAAUGCUCUGGCUAUGGAGCUGGGCGGGGCUGGAGCGGAGCCUACCUGUGAAUUUCCCGGGGGAUACCUGGCUGCUCUUCUCUGACGGGCCAGCUGUGGUUGCCCGCUUCCCUGGGGAGGGUGUCCAGGGGGCCAGAACAGGGUGCAAUUUUACCGCGCCCUGUAAGAACUCAGGAGUCCUGCCUCCCUGGCCCAGGGCCCAGAUACCCAGCUCUUGCUCCCCUGCCCCCCAUCCCCCCGUCCCAUGCCUGGCUGCAGAAUCCCAGGCACUUUACUGUCUCCAAGCCUCAGGCCUCCCCGUGGGAGCAGUGCUCUCUGGAGACUCGCUGUACCUGUUGCCUCCGCCCCUGCCCUGGACGGGAGGAGCACCCCUGCACUCCCGUCUUGGGUGGGGACCCCGGAUUGCAAUCCCUCCACCCCCUGCAGGCCUCUUUGUUUCUUCUUGGGCAGCCUCUGCUUCAGUCACUCCAGGCACGCUCUGUUCUGGAGGGCUUCCUGGAGGAGGCGAGAUUGUCCUUUGGACUGUAGGGAAGCCAGGGAGGGCAGUGGUCUGAGGUGGGGAGGGAUAGCCAAUGAAGGUGCUCCUGGCGAGGAGCUUGUAAGCUUGGAAACUGUAUCCCCAAGGCCCUCCUCUGGGUUGUUGUUUAUAAUGAAGUCAGCUGCCUGUUUGUUUGUGCAGGCCUUGACCCCAGGGCCUGGCCAAUAGACAUGUGCUUUGGAGGCUAGUAUUAGAAAUAAAACCGAUUUUAUUUAGAUGAUCA